UGAAAAAAUAAAUCCAGCAAAGAACGCCAUUGUUGAGCAAACACCUUCCUGGUGCCGGUUCAGUAUUAAAAUAGGCUAAAAAAUUAUAAACCUUUGAUAAAUUCUUCUAUGGCCACUUCAAAAAUGCAGAUCAAGUUCACCCAUCUUUAAAAAGUUCCCAACAUUUCCUCAUCUAACCGCAUCAUCAAAUAGCAGCACAGCAGUUCUCGGGAAAUGCGAUAGAACUGAAAAUCCCAUAAACACCGACAAGUCUAAUUCCGGAAUGUUUCUUUGAGAAAUGUUGGUUCUAUCUCGCCGGAGAAUGAUUUUCAUCGGCAACUUUCUGACGUUAUACAAUAAAAAUACCUAGUGCUAUGGAAAAUAAAACAUUAACUUGGAAUAUUUAUUA